ACCUCAACUCCCUGCACCCGCAUUUAACAUGCGGAGAGUUAGUCAAGGAACGGCAGUCCCUCCUUAACUCCCUCCACCCCCUGCACCAGCCCUCAACGUGCAGCGAACAGAGGAACUUUGUGCAGUGAGGAAAAACAUGGUGACACGGUCAGCCAGGACGUGGGGGUCACCAAGCACGCAAUUAGGUGUUUCAACUGGCGGCGGAUCGGGCAACGAGCAGGGGCGGAGUGGCAAUCGGGACGGUCAGGAGUUAUCCCGGUCGGCCGGCCAAGGUGCGGGCCGGCCCAUAGAGGGCCUAUAGAGCUUUUCACGCGGCCGUGAGUCGUACAUGAGAAAUGCAUUAAGAAUUUUCCGCGAAAAUCUCUGAGAUCUACACUUUAAGAACUUUAAGAAGUCCAACCCAUUUUUAAACCACUCACUCACUGUCUAUAUGUCGUUCAUGGUUACCCUGCACACUCAUCUCUCCCAUGCUGAUUUUUGUG